rnacentral:rRNA from 1 species
UACAGAGGUCUCAAGCGUUGUUCGGAUUCAUUAGGCGUAAAGGGUGUGUAGGUGGCGCCGUAAGUCGGGUGUGAAAUUUCGGAGCUUAACUCCGAAACUGCAUUCGAUACUGCGGUGCUUGAGGACUGGAGAGGAGACUGGAAUUCGAUGGUGUAGCAGUGAAAUGCGUAGAGAUCAUGAGGAAGACCAGUGGCGAAGGCGGGUCUCUGGACAGUUCCUGACACUGAGACACGAAGGCCAGGGAGCAAACGGG